AUAAAAUAAUUUACUACAUUUGUAGUUUAUUGAUUUUAUUCUGUACAUUUAAAAAUACUAAUCUGUGAAGGGGUUCAUAGGCUUCGACAGACUGCCAAAGAAGUCCAUGGCACAAAAAGUUAUGAACCCUUUAUCAAUGACUAUUCCAAAGAAUGUUGAUUUUGUUCCUGGGGAUGUCAGAGACUGAUUUCUCCAGUGACUAUAAAGUAUCAUUUUACAGUCACAUUCAUUUAUCAUCACAUUCAUUUAUCAAAUAAUUUGAUAAAUACUUGGUGAGUUUCCACUGCAAGUUAGAUACUGAACUAUGUCCUUGGGAUACAUCAGUGAACCAAACAAAAAUCUCAACCUUUGUGGAGUUUACAUACUGGCGGGGAAGGCAGAUGAUAACACAAAAGAUACAUAGAUUAUGUAAUAGGUCCAAAGCUAGAAAGGAAAGGUGCCAGGAAGGAUUUUGCUGCCAUUUUAAAUUGAGUGGUCAGAGCAGGUCUCAUGUACAGACUUGCCUAUAUAGGUCAGCAAGCCCGGAAGUCUCCAGAUGGAAUUUCCCAGGCAAAGGAAACAACUCAAAGCUCAGAGGAGGGAUCAUGUUUACUAUGUUCAAGAAAUAGCCAGAAAGACUGCGUGGCUGGAGCAGAGUAGGAUGAGGAAGAAAAGAAGAAGGGAAGAUCAGAGAACUAAUGGAGGGAGGAGGAGAGUACACAGAGGUCUUUAAAGGCCAUAUAAGAACUUGGAUUUUUACUCUGAGGUAGGCGAAGAAUUUAGACAAUUGCAUUUCUUUUUGGGAAAGAAAUGCCGUGAUCUGACUUAAUGUUUCAAAAGAAUCACUUAUACUUCUUUGUGGGCAAUAGAAUGGAAGGAGGCAAGGGUGGGAACAGGAAAACAGUUAUAAGACGAUUGCUAAAAUGUAGCAAGUCUGACGAAAGUGAUAGCCAUGGAGGCGGUGAGGAGUAAUUGGUCUCUGAAUUAUGUUUAGGGUAAACACAGGAAGACUUCCUGGUGAAUCGGAUGUGCAGUGGGAGUAAUAAAGAGAGGAAACAAGGGUGACUCAAAGAUUUUUGACCUAAGCACUAGAGGGGUGAAUUUUUCAUCUACUGAGAUGGAAAGCUUUGAGCAGCUCAGAUAUUUGGGAGAAGAUCAGGAGUCACUCUUGAAAAGUUUGAAUGAUCUAAAUGAGAGACUUUGAAUAUAGUUUUGGAGUCUGAGGCAAAGGAGCAUCCAGGGCUGGAGAUGUAAAUUUGGCAACAAAGGGCAUACAGAGGGAGCCUGGAUGAGAUCCCCAAAGGAAGGAGAGUGGAUAAAAAAAGAAACUACAAUCUGGGGCAAGUCAGUCCAGGACUAAGAGGUAUAAGCAAAGAUAAAUCAUUCACAAAGUUCUGAGACUAGCAACUAGUGAAUUAGGAAGCCUUACAAGCCAAAAAAAAAAAAAAAAAAAAAAAAGUAUCAAGGAGUGGUGUCAUCUCUGUCAAGGGGCGUAAAAUGUGAGAGGACCAAAUGUGAGCCAUGAGAUUUAGCAACCUGAAGUUUAUCUGAGACCUCAGUAAGAGCAAUUUUGUUGAGAGUUAAGACCUGAUUUCAGUGGGUCUGUGAGAGAAUGAGAGGAGAGGAACUGGAUAGAAUUAAUACAGACCCCCUUUCUAAAUGUUUUUCUGCAAAGGCAAAGAGAAAUGGAGUCAUACCUGGUAGGGAGAGAGGGUCCAGUAAAAGGUUUUAUUUCUGUUUUUUCUUGUUUUUGUUGGCUUAGUUUUUUGCUUUUUAAGAUAAAUGAGUAACAAUCUUUUGUGCUGAGGAGGAUGACUCAAAAAGCGGAAAGAGUUGACAAGGUAAGAGAUGGGAGAAGACAUGCAGGGAUGCCCUUGAGUGGGCCGCAGGGCUUGCAAUCUGGUGCACAUGUGAAGAGAUUGGCUCUAGAAAGACCACAGACAAUUCACCUUUCAAAACAGCAAGAAAAGCACAGUGAGUACACGUGCUUGUGGGAGGGUGAGCAGGUGCAGUAGUGAGAGACUGGGGAAAUUCUCUUUUAAUUGUUUCACCUCUGUCAGUGAAGGAGAAAAAAAGAUUGUGCAUUGAGAAUGAACAUGAGGGAGCAGAUGCUGGAGAUUUAAAAGGGAGGUGAGAAAGGACAGUUGAUUGGGAAAGAGAUAGAAUAGUGGCUCUCAAAGGCAGUCUCCAGAUCAGCAGCAUUGGUAUCACCUGAAGACUUGUUAGUAAUGCAAAAAUCUCAGGCCUUACUUCCAGCUUGAUGAAUCAGGAACUCUGAGGUAGGCGCAGCAGUCUGUGUCUUAGCAAGCCUUGCAGGGAUUCUGAUGCACGCUGAAGUCUGAGUGUCACUGGAAUGGAUGGUGUCCAUAUGAUUGCUGGGUCACUCCGCCUAUCCUGAAUGUCAAGAACAUGCCAAGUGAGACCAGCCAGUAUAUUGUAGCUUUUUCUCCAGCCACAACCAGAAAGUCUUUGCUUCCUCUUCGCCUUCUGCCAUGAUUGUAAGUUUCCUGAAGCCUCUCCAGCUGUGCAAAACGAGAAAAAGAUGCACAUCCAAAAGCCUCAUUUGAAACUUCCAGACAGAGAGCCCAGCAUUUGGAGAGUCUCUUUGGACAGCUUUAAACACAAUUACAGAAAAGAAAGCAAUCUCUCUGAAGUUUGAAACCUUUGAUAUUCAGAAAACAUGAAGACUCAGAGAAGAAAAGUGAUAUGUUAGCAUGCUUUGUAAAUAGUACAGCCAGGACUCCUUUUAUAUAAAAAUCCAUGGUACUUUCUAUUUUUCCCAUGGGUGAAUUUUAGCCAAAGUUUCAAUAUUAAACCUGAAAUCAUCAAAAAGACUAUGGUAAAAUUAGAUGUACAGGUGAUCCUUUAACAACAAGGGCUUGAACAAAGGGGGUCUGCUUCUGUGCAGAUUUUUUUCUGCCUCUGCCAUCCCUGAGACAGCAAGACAAAUUCCUCCUCUUCCUCCCACCUCCUCAGCCUACUCGGUGUGAGGAUGAUGAGAAUAAACACCUUUAUGAUGCUCUACUUCCACUUUAUAAAUAGUGAGUAUAUAUUGUCUUGUGAUUUUAAUAUUUUUUCCUCUAGCUUACUUUAAUGUAAUAGUGUAGUAUAUAAUACAUAUAACAUGCAAAAUAUGUGUUAAUUGACUGUUUAUGUUAUUAGCAAGGCUUCCAAGGAACAGUAGGCUAUUAGCAGUUAAGUUUUGGGGGAGUCAAAAAUUAUACACAGAUUUUUGACUGUACUGUAGGUCAGCCUCCCUAACCUUCGCAUUGUUCAAGGGUCAACUUUGUAUACAUAUCUAAUUUUGAGAUAAUACACUGUGGUUAGUAUAUACAUCAGUACUAACCAUAGUGUAUUAUCUCAAUAUUUGUUGAACAAAUAAAACUACAUAUACUUGUCAUGCCUAGUCUUGUUUCUAUGGAAAAAAAAAAGAUUUUCCUUGUAACUCUAGGCACAAAAUACGUCUUGCUAUAUCACAGGGGGUAGCAUCUUACCUAGUGACAUUGGAACAGUCUCCAAAAAACAGUGCACAGAGGGGUGCAGACAGCCUAAACUUGGUAACACAUAAGGAAAGACACUGUAUACCUCUGAGUAAAUGAAUGGCACAUGUGUUACAUUGUCUCCUCCCAUGUUCUGGCAGGGAUUACACUACUUGCCAUGAGCAAAAAAGGAGAUGGUAUAACGUGAAUGCCAUUUAUUUGCUAUUAUGAUUUUUUUUUUUUUUUUU